CCUUCUGUGCCGCAGUACACAUAAGCAUCCGCCUGGGAGUACGCCGCAAGUGAACUCAAAGAAUUGACGGGGCCCGCACAGCAGCGGAGCAUGUGUUAUUCGACGCACGCGAAGAACCUACAGUCUUGACAUCCAGUAAAAGCCAUAGAGAUAUGGUGUGAGCUUGCUCAUACUGAGACAGGUGGUGCAUGUUGUCGUCAGCUCGUGUCGUGAGAUGUUGGGUUAAGUCCCGCAACGAGCGCAACCCUUAUUUUCAGUUACUAACAGGUAAAGCUGAGGACUCUGAAGAGACUGCCGGGGACAACUCGGAGGAAGGUGGGGACGACGUCAAAUCAUCAUGCCCCUUAUGACCUGGGCUACACACGUGCUACAAUGGCCACCACAGAGAGGAGCGAACCCGUAAGGGGGAGCGGAUCUCAAAAAAGUGGUCCCAGUUCGGAUUGUGGGCUGCAACCCGCCCACAUGAAGUCGGAGUUGCUAGUAAUCGCGGAUCAGCAUGCCGCGGUGAAUACGUUCCCGGGCCUUGUACACACCGCCCGUCACACCAUGGGAGUUGGGAGUGCCCAAAGUCGGUGAGGUAACCGCAAGGAGCCAGCCGCCUAAGGCAAGACCAAUGACUGGGGUG
rnacentral:rRNA from 1 species